rnacentral:rRNA from 1 species
AUUGAACGCUGGCGGCAUGCUUUACACAUGCAAGUCGAACGGUAACAGGCCUUCGGGUGCUGACGAGUGGCGAACGGGUGAGUAAUGCAUCUGAACGUCCCCAUAGUUGUGGGAUAACGCAUCUAAAGCUGUGCUAAUACCGCACGUGCUCUGAGGAUGAAAGCGGGGGACCACUCAGCACUGUUUGGCCUCGCGCCUUUUGAGCUGCCGAUGUCAGAUUAGGUAGUUGGUGGGGUAAAGGCCUACCAAGCCGACGAUCUGUAGCUGGUCUGAGAGGACGACCAGCCACACUGGGACUGAGACACGGCCCAGACUCCUACGGGAGGCAGCAGUGGGGAAUUUUGGACAAUGGGCGAAAGCCUGAUCCAGCAAUGCCGCGUGCGGGAAGAAGGCCUUCGGGUUGUAAACCGCUUUUGUACGGAACGAAAAGGAUCUGGCUAAUACCUGGGGCUGAUGACGGUACCGUAAGAAUAAGCACCGGCUAACUACGUG